AAUGCCAGUCUUCAGUGAAUGAAAACAUCGUCCAGACUUGACCUUAACUUCAAAACAAACGGAAGCGGAAUUUAUCCUGGACAAGAUUGGUAUAGGAUUGGGUGUCAGUGGAACGCUGUUGCUGAUUGGUUGUUUAUGCCAUCAUUACCUUUGCUUUAAAAGGCGAAAAAUGUCUGAGCAGUCCCAUGUUCGUACCACAACAGACAUUCACUUUACCCCAGAUGACGUCACUGAUGGUGUGACAAUGAGACCUAUAUCUAGACCUUCUCGUGAGAACCAUAGAAGUACAGUGCAGUCCAGCUACCGAUAUGUCGGAAAAGAGAGCGAGAUUGUAAAUGUUAAUUGUGUACGAGAACUACCUGCUUCAGAAAUGUCGGAAGAUUUUAAUUCAAGUUUCGGAAGAACAGCAAAUCCAAAGGAUCAAAACACCAAACAAAAUAGUGAGUGGAAGGACACUAGUUAUGUUGGAGAAUUAUUUUCUCCACCGAGGUCGAGGACGUGCUUCGGUUAUCAGAAAACAUCUAUUAGUACAACUGUGUAAAGCUAAUGCCAUCACAAACACUGAUCUUAAAGGGCAAUGUGAUAUGUCAUUAUGGCAGUAAAUAUAUUUGGACUAUUAAUACUUUAAGGGUUCUUGUCUUCUGUAUUAAGGUGCAUAAACU